GACGAACGCUGGCGGCGUGCUUAACACAUGCAAGUCGAACGGAAAGGCCCUGCUUUUGUGGGGUGCUCGAGUGGCGAACGGGUGAGUAACACGUGAGUAACCUGCCCUUGACUUUGGGAUAACUUCAGGAAACUGGGGCUAAUACCGGAUAGGAGCUCCUGCUGCAUGGUGGGGGUUGGAAAGUUUCGGCGGUUGGGGAUGGACUCGCGGCUUAUCAGCUUGUUGGUGGGGUAGUGGCUUACCAAGGCUUUGACGGGUAGCCGGCCUGAGAGGGUGACCGGCCACAUUGGGACUGAGAUACGGCCCAGGCUCCUACGGGAGGCAGCAGUGGGGAAUAUUGCACAAUGGGCGGAAGCCUGAUGCAGCAACGCCGCGUGCGGGAUGACGGCCUUCGGGUUGUAAACCGCUUUCGCCUGUGACGAAGCGUGAGUGACGGUAAUGGGGAAAGAAGCACCGGCGAACUACGU
rnacentral:rRNA from 1 species